rnacentral:misc_RNA from 1 species
GAUGAAGAACGCAGCGAACUGCGAUAAGUAAUGUGAAUUGCAGAAUUCAGUGAAUCAUCGAGUCUUUGGACGCACAUUGCGCCCCCUGGUAUUCCGGGGGGCAUGCCUGUCCGAGCGUCAUUGCUGCCCUCAAGCACGGCUUGUGUGUUGGGCCCCGUCCUCCGAUCCCGGGGGACGGGCCCGAAAGGCAGCGGCGGCACCGCGUCCGGUCCUCGAGCGUAUGGGGCUUUGUCACCCGCUCUGUAGGCCCGGCCGGCGCUUGCCGAUCAACCCAAAUUUUUAUCCAGGUUGACCUCGGAUCAGGUAGGGAUACCCGCUGAACUUAAGCAUAUCAAUAAGCGGAGGA